GACGAACGCUGGCGGCGCGCCUAACACAUGCAAGUCGAACGAGCGAGAGAGAGCUUGCUUUCUCGAGCGAGUGGCGAACGGGUGAGUAACGCGUGAGGAACCUGCCUCAAAGAGGGGGACAACAGUUGGAAACGACUGCUAAUACCGCAUAAGCCCACGGUGCCGCAUGGCACAGAGGGAAAAGGAGCAAUCCGCUUUGAGAUGGCCUCGCGUCCGAUUAGCUAGUUGGUGAGGUAAUGGCCCACCAAGGCGACGAUCGGUAGCCGGACUGAGAGGUUGAACGGCCACAUUGGGACUGAGACACGGCCCAGACUCCUACGGGAGGCAGCAGUGGGGAAUAUUGCACAAUGGAGGAAACCCUGAUGCAGCGACGCCGCGUGGAGGAAGAAGGUCUUCGGAUUGUAAACUCCUGUUGUUGGGGAAGAUAAUGACGGUACCCAACAAGGAAGUGACGGCUAACUACGUG
rnacentral:rRNA from 1 species